rnacentral:lncRNA from 1 species
GGAAUGGAGGGAAAUAAAUGACUGGAUGGUCGCUGCUUUUUAAGUUUCAAAUUGACAUUCCAGACAAGCGGUGCCUGAGCCCGUGCCUGUCUUCAGAUCUUCACAGCACAGUUCCUGGGAAGGUGGAGCCACCAGCCUCUCCCUGCCCUAGCAGAUGCUAAUCCAGCGUGCGUCCUGGCAGAGGUUGAAGGGGGCUCCUCAAGUCCCAGGUCCAGCUUGGUGUGGUUCAGCUACUCGAGAGACAUCUGCUGCUAAUGGAUGAGCAGUCAACCUGGACGCAGGAAAUCAUUUUUUAUUUGGACAAGCAAAGUGGAUCAGCAAAGGCUGCAGUCACCAGCAUCUUUUCCAACCUUAAUGAACUGUAUCCUCAAAAGAACACUAUCAGACUGGCUCUGCCGACUUCCAGUUCUGGAACAAGAUGGUUAAACUCAUUUUUCCCUGCUCUGCUCCUCUAAAUACAACUAAGUACCUUGGAAACUAUUCAGCAGACAAUGAUAAAGGGCUCUGAAAGCUAGAAGAAAAGGUGUACUUGCAAGAAACCUCAGGACUUGAGUAACAGCAACAUGGCAGGCCAGAAAGCAGACCCAGGGAGGAUAGCACAUGUCUUCGGCUACACUGGUGAAGGCAUCGUGCCUGCUCCACAGCACAUUUUUAUUCAAGGAAAGGAGAAAGAGACUACCUACUGCAUUUCUGUCACUCGCUGAAAAGGACACUCUGUCAGAAAAUCUUCUAGCAAACUUCAAAGGGCAAAAUCACCCCUUGUUACUGAUAAAGCCCAGAGAGCUUCAGCAGCUAACAUUCCCUGGACAGGGCACAGCAAGGAUUUGAACCUAGGUCAGUCUGGCCAGAACACCCACAAGCUUUCCUUAACUCAGUGUGCUAUCUCCCCACGACUAGGUCACUACUGCUUUAUAAUCACCUUUGUAGCCACCAGUGGAUUUUGCUCAUCAGUAUUUUUCAGGCAAUUGAUACUUUAGAUAUUCAGCUGCAAGACGUAUGCAGUUUUCAUUGACAUCUUUUGGAGAAACUGACAAACCUGGACUUGACUUAAUGCCUUUGGAACCUUCCAAGAUGUUAUAUAACUCUAGAUAGAAGGCUGGGCCUCCAUGAUGUCAGGAAUGUUGCAUUCUUAUUUCCCCAUAGAUAAACCCAUUUGUCCACAAAGUCAAGGAGUCAGGCAGAGGCCCUUGCCAUGGGGCUUUUUAGGAUAAAGCAACAAGCCUGGACUUUGCUCUACAACAGGGUUUUGCAUAGGGAGUGGUAUGACCAGAUCCCUCAAGAAAGAAAGCUUAGAGACCAGGCCAGAGUCCACUGCAGUAGCCCAGUCAAGAGAGGAUGGUGACUUGGACUUGUAGUAGAGCCAGUUAGAAUGAAAGAAAUUGACACAUUCAGAAAUGGUUUUAGAGAUAGAGUCAAACUGGACCUGAUAAAGAACUAGAGAAGCGGAGUGAGGAUAAAGAGAAGAGCCAUGACUGACUCGGAAGAUUUUGUCUUGAAAAACUUGAGAACUCAAGACAGAGUGAAAUAAAAUCACAUGUGGGAAAAA